ACCGCCCUGACCGCGUAGCUCAGUUGGAAGAGCAUUGGGGUAGUAUUCCAAAGGUCGUAGGUUCGAAUCCCACCGUGGCCAGGCAUGUUUUUCAAGCUCGCCCGGUGUGGAUAUACACUCAGAGUAACACCACAAAUAUCAUAUUCACCUGAGUACACUACACCAACACAGAAAAAAAUUCAUAUUACUAGAAUACAUUGGUAUCGAAGGAACUAGAUUUGGUUCCGAAAUAUCACUUACUCGAACCGUCCUGACCGCGUAGCUCAGUUGGAAGAGCAUUGGGCUAGUAUUCCAAAGGUCGUAGGUUCGAUUCCCACCGUGGCCGGGCA